UACAGAGGGGGCAAGCGUUAUUCGGAAUUAUUGGGCGUAAAGCGCGCGCAGGCGGUCCUUUAAGUCUGAUGUGAAAGCCCACGGCUCAACCGUGGAGGGUCAUUGGAAACUGGGGGGACUUGAGUGCAGGAGAGAAAAGUGGAAUUCCACGUGUAGCGGUGAAAUGCGUAGAGAUGUGGAGGAACACCAGUGGCGAAGGCGACUUUUUGGCCUGUAACUGACGCUGAGGCGCGAAAGCGUGGGGAGCGAACAGG
rnacentral:rRNA from 1 species